ACAAGAAACACAUGUGAAAUUUGUUUUACACCAUUUCUAUUAGAGUUGUAAGGAACUCCAUACAAUAUCAGCAGUCUAUACCCAUAAGGAGGCAACCCUGGAAUACUGAAAGGAAGAAGGGGAGGAAUUGCAACAGGCUUUUAUGGACUUAAUAUAAAACAGGAAACCUGGAUGAGGAGGCUCUUAGAAGGGAUCGAUCAAUACAUGACAGGCCUCAGGACCUGAUUAAUAUGCCUACAAAUGUCUGUGUCAACAACAGACCGUUAUACUGGCUUUGUCCUCAGAUGAAUGCAACGGGCUUAUUAACAGUUCAUGUACUGUGGUCAACUAUUUUGGAAAUAAUCUGCGAGUCAGAGACACUCUCUGUUUUUUGCCUGCUGACCAGCACACAAGUAACCUAUUGGUUGUGCAUUUUAUGGAUGCUCCAGAUGUAUGCAAGCAGAAGAAAUAGAUCUUGGGAAAAUUACAAUUUUGAACUACAGCUCCCAGAUUCCUCCUUCCAGCAUGGUUUGUGGUUGAUUUAAUCAAGGAAUUCUGGAAAGGUUUCUUUCAUAUGGUCAAUAUUUUCUGGUUAAUGGACUCAAUCUGAUGUUGAAUACGAAGCUUCACUGGCCAUGAGCAAAAUUUCAAAAUUCAUACUGUGGUUUUCCAUGUGCACAGUUCUUGAAGAUCAUGUCUUCAUACCUGGAAUAAGAAAAAAGAUAGAAAAUCAGUGGUCUAUAAAAUAAAUUUAGCAAUUUCAUUAAAAUUAAGGUUUAAUUUAACCAUUUAUUGUAAUGUGUGAUCAAAGAUUAUUAAAUAACAUUGACAGGUAUAACCUUUUUAUAAUCUUUAAAACCACACCUUAAUUUUUCCUGUUCCCGUAAAUCCCAUGAAAUGUUCUGUCACUGCCUUGAAAAGAGUGCCUAACUGGUAUUUAGGAAAUGAUUAAUAUGUGUUUAGUAUUUCUUUUCAAAUAUGCUUAAGACCAGAAAUGUUUUGGAUUUCAGAAUUUUUUUUUCUUUUGGAGUGUGGGGGUUGGAAUACCUGUACAAACAGUCUCCAAGUGACAAACAUUUAACUUAAAAAUGACUCAUGAGGGUGAGACAACAGGAAGUGAGAAAAAAAUUACCCCUAGAAAGGAAAAUUCACUCCUGGAAGAAUUAUCAUGGGAAAAAGGUGUGUCUGCUGAAGCUUUCUUACCAAUCCUUGUUUCUACAACAAGCCAAAGUUUUCAAAAUCGAAUUAUCACAGGGACAGAAAUUGAGGUGAAAUCUUCUGAACAGGGGCACAUUAAAACACAAACAUCACAUGAGUGUUAACCCUUCCCUAUGCUAACCAAAAUGAGAGAGAGAUAGGAGGGGAGAGAGAGGAAGAGGGAGAGGGAGAGGGAGAGAUUUACACUUAAAGAUAUAACCGUUCCAGCUUACACACACAUUCAACCUACAGAGCCUAUCUUGUUCAUCACUUGAGGACUGCCUGUAUUUGCAUAUGCGAUACCAUGGAAAUGGGACUCAGUUCUAAACACAAACUGCAUUUAUGUUUCAUAUACACCUUAUACAUAUUGCCUAAAGAUACUGUUAUAUGAUAUUUUAAUAAUUUUGUGCCUGAAUCAAAGCUUGUGUAUACCGAACCACCAGAAAUAAAGAUGUCACUAUCUCAGACACUCAUAUGGACAAUUGUGGAUUUUAGAAUAUUUGGAAUUUGGAAUUCCAGAUAAGGGGUACUUAACCUGUAUAAAAUAAUAAAAAAUAUAGGGGGUGAGAAGAAGGGAAAAUAGUAACAGUUGUUACAAAAGUAUAUUCAACUUUAAAUCUAUACUUAGCUUUCUAAAUCAAGAAUCUAAAGCAAUUGGGGUUUCAGUCAAAUCCCAUUGAGUCUACAGAAGAGGAAACAAUGGUUGAAAAUUGUGUAAAAAAGUUCAGUGAUCUAUUCUUUCAUGUGAAUUAUUUGGAAUCAAUCUUUCUCAGAAAUUCCUAUAAGAAGUGAAAAGUUCAAAUAACUGAGGAACUGUAAUGGAUUUCCUAUGAAACCCAAUGAUCCAA